rnacentral:rRNA from 1 species
UACGUAGGGUGCGAGCGUUGUCCGGAAUUAUUGGGCGUAAAGAGCUCGUAGGCGGUGUGUCACGUCGGCCGUGAAAACCUGCAGCUUAACUGUGGGCGUGCGGUCGAUACUGGCAUCACUGGAUUUCGGCAGGGGAGACUGGAAUUCCUGGUGUAGCGGUGAAAUGCGCAGAUAUCAGGAGGAACACCGGUGGCGAAGGCGGGUCUCUGGGCCGAUACUGACGCUGAGGAGCGAAAGCGUGGGGAGCAAACAGG